rnacentral:lncRNA from 1 species
UCCACCAGGGCUUCGUGUCCCCCAUCCGAAGGCUGGUGUUCCCGAAGGCUGCACGCCAGGCCGCCUUCAAAAGCAAUGUCAGCCGCAGGCCCCUGCACUCUAUGCCUCUUUAUCCCCCUGACUACCUCAUCGACCCCCACAUCCUGCUGUGUGACUACCUGGAGAAAGAGGUCAAGGUGAGCACGGGACAAAGGGGGUAGGCAGGUGGGCUUGGAGGGACACCAAGCUCCGCCACACCCUGUGGUACAUGAAGGAAGCCUCACUGCCUCGGGCUGCACAUCCUCGGCAGGUGUCACCCACCCGCUGAGCCCCCGUGGGAGUUUCUGUCCCAACAUGGGGCUCAGAACCCACCCCCACAGGAGACUGAGUGGGAAACUGUGCUGUGUUCCCAGAAGCUCAACCUACUCAUGGGAUUUUCGUCUGCAGACUCCCUGCUUAUUCAGUGUCCAAGAGCAAGGCUGGGCGUGUGGCUUGGUGGUAAAGCGCUCGCCCGGCAUUCUGGAGGCCCCAGGCUGCACAUCCAGCACUGGAGGCAGGUCUGGGGGCGUGGAGGGUGGAGACAGCCGUAAGAUGGACUCCUACUACUCAAAAGCUUCCAUUUUAGAAGCACUGUGAAGGAGCUUUGGGUAGGUUAGCAGGUCUCCAUUAGCCGAAGAUUGGUGUGGAGUAGGAUUAAGGUAAUGAACAGGCUACUUCGGCAAAUUUGAAUUGCAGAUGAGCAGGGAUUAUUCCUCUAGCACAAACAUGCUCCAAAUGUUAAACAGAACUAAAUAGGUACCAAAAAAAAAAAAAAAAAA